UCGAGGGGUAUAGUUCUUCGGAGCUAGAGACCGGCGCACGGGUGCGUAACGCGUAUGCAAUCUACCUUUUACAGAGGGAUAGCCCAGAGAAAUUUGGAUUAAUACCUCAUAGUAUGUGAGAAUCGCAUGGUUUUCACAUUAAAGUUCCAACGGUAAAAGAUGAGCAUGCGUCCCAUUAGCUAGAUGGUAAGGUAACGGCUUACCAUGGCGACGAUGGGUAGGGGUCCUGAGAGGGAGAUCCCCCACACUGGUACUGAGACACGGACCAGACUCCUACGGGAGGCAGCAGUGAGGAAUAUUGGACAAUGGGCGCAAGCCUGAUCCAGCCAUGCCGCGUGCAGGAUGACGGUCCUAUGGAUUGUAAACUGCUUUUGUACAGGAAGAAACACUCCCUCGUGAGGGAGCUUGACGGUACUGUAAGAAUAAGGAUCGGCUAACUCCGUGCCAGCAGCCGCGGUAAUACGGAGGAUCCAAGCGUUAUCCGGAAUCAUUUGGUUUAAAGGGUCCGUAGGCGGUUUAAUAAGUCAGUGGUGAAAGCCCAUCGCUCAACGGUGGAACGGCCAUUGAUACUGUUAAACUUGAAUUAUUAGGAAGUAACUAGAAUAUGUAGUGUAGCGGUGAAAUGCUUAGAGAUUACAUGGAAUACCAAUUGCGAAGGCAGGUUACUACUAAUGGAUUGACGCUGAUGGACGAAAGCGUGGGCAGCGAACAGGAUUAGAUACCCUGGUAGUCCACGCCGUAAACGAUGGAUACUAGCUGUUGGGCGCAAGUUCAGUGGCUAAGCGAAAGUGAUAAGUAUCCCACCUGGGGAGUACGCUCGCAAGAAUGAA
rnacentral:rRNA from 1 species